rnacentral:rRNA from 1 species
GACGAACGCUGGCGGCGUGCUUAACACAUGCAAGUCGAACGGAAAGGCCCUGCUUUUGUGGGGUGCUCGAGUGGCGAACGGGUGAGUAACACGUGAGUAACCUGCCCUUGACUUUGGGAUAACUUCAGGAAACUGGGGCUAAUACCGGAUAGGAGCUCCUGCUGCAUGGUGGGGGUUGGAAAGUUUCGGCGGUUGGGGAUGGACUCGCGGCUUAUCAGCUUGUUGGUGGGGUAGUGGCUUACCAAGGCUUUGACGGGUAGCCGGCCUGAGAGGGUGACCGGCCACAUUGGGACUGAGAUACGGCCCAGACUCCUACGGGAGCCAGCAGUGGGGAAUAUUGCACAAUGGGCGGAAGCCUGAUGCAGCAACGCCGCGUGCGGGAUGACGGCCUUCGGGUUGUAAACCGCUUUCGCCUGUGACGAAGCGUGAGUGACGGUAAUGGGUAAAGAAGCACCGGCGAACUACGU